CCACGCUUUCGUACCUCAGUGUCAGUUACAGUCCAGUAAGUCGCCUUCGCCACUGGUGUUCCUCCUAAUAUCUACGCAUUUCACCGCUACACUAGGAAUUCCACUUACCUCUCCUGUACUCAAGUUUGACAGUUUCAAAUGCUUACAAUGGUUGAGCCAUUGCCUUUUACACCUGACUUAUCAAACCACCUACGUACUCUUUACGCCCAGUAAUUCCGGACAACGCUCGCCCCCUACGUAUUACCGCGGCUGCUGGCACGUAGUUAGCCGGGGCUUCCUCCUCGGAUACCGUCAUUAUCUUCUCCGAGGACAGAGCUUUACGAUCCGAAAACCUUCUUCGCUCACGCGGCGUCGCUGCAUCAGGGUUUCCCCCAUUGUGCAAUAUUCCCCMCUGCUGCCUCCCGUAG
rnacentral:rRNA from 1 species